rnacentral:rRNA from 1 species
CAGUAGCCGCGGUAAUACGAAGGGUGCAAGCGUUACUCGGAAUUACUGGGCGUAAAGCGCGCGUAGGUGGUUCGCCAAGUUGGAUGUGAAAUCCCCGGGCUCAACCUGGGAACUGCAUCCAAAACUGGCGAGCUAGAGUAUGGUAGAGGGUGGUGGAAUUUCCUGUGUAGCGGUGAAAUGCGUAGAUAUAGGAAGGAACAUCAGUGGCGAAGGCGACCACCUGGACUGAUACUGACACUGAGGUGCGAAAGCGUGGGGAGCAAACAGGAUUAGAUACCCCCGUAGUCCCUGUCUCUUAUAA